UCCCUGGUGGUCCAGUGGUUAAGACUCCUACUUCCAAUGUAGGAGACGUGGGUUCAACCUCUGUUCAGGGAA
rfam:TPA: Bos taurus chromosome 7, whole genome shotgun sequence.